GAAUAUUGGACAAUGGGCGCAAGCCUGAUCCAGCCAUACCGCGUGGGUGAAGAAGGCCUUCGGGUUGUAAAGCCCUCUUGUUGGGAAAGAAAAGCAGUCGGCUAAUACCCGGUUGUUCUCACGGUACCCAAAGAAUAAGCCCCGGCCAACCUUGUGCCCGACGCCGCGGUAAUACUAAGGUGGCAAGCUGUACUCGGAAUUACUGGGCGUAAAGCGUGCGUAGGUGGUUGUUUAAGUCUGUUGUGAAAGCCCUGGGCGCAACCUGGGAAUUGCAGUGGAUACUGGGCGACUAGAGUGUGGUAGAGGGUAGUGGAAUUCCCGGUGUAGCAGUGAAAUGCGUAGAGAUCGGGAGGAACAUCCAUGGCGAAGGCAGCUACCUGGACCAACACUGACACUGAGGCACGAAAGCGUGGGGAGCAAACAGG
rnacentral:rRNA from 1 species